rnacentral:rRNA from 1 species
UAGGGAAUAUUGGGCAAUGGAGGCAACUCUGACCCAGCCAUCCCGCGUGCAGGAUGAAGGAUCUAUGGUUCGUAAACUGCUUUUGUUAGGGAAGAAAAAGACUCAUUUAUGAGUAACUGACGGUACCUAACGAAUAAGCACCGGCUAACUCCGUGCCAGCAGCCGCGGUAAUACGGAGGGUGCAAGCGUUAUCCGGAUUCACUGGGUUUAAAGGGUGCGUAGGCGGCUAUAUAAGUCAGUGGUGAAAGCCCGCAGCUCAACUGCGGAAUUGCCAUUGAAACUGCAUAGCUUGAAUCUGGUUGAAGUGGGCGGAAUACAUCAUGUAGCGGUGAAAUGCUUAGAUAUGAUGUAGAACACCGAUUGCGAAGGCAGCUCACUAAGCCAACAUUGACGCUGAGGCACGAAAGCGUGGGUAGCGAACAGG